GCAGUGGUGGCCUAGUGGAUAAGGUGAUUGACUGGGGGUCAAAAGGUUGCUGGUUCAAAUCAUAGCUCCUUUGGG